rnacentral:rRNA from 1 species
GGUUUGACGGUACCUAUAAAGGAAGCACCGGCUAACUCCGUGCCAGCAGCCGCGGUAAUACGGGGGGUGCAAGCGUUGUUCGGAAUUAUUGGGCGUAAAGCGCGUGUAGGCGGUCUGAUUAGUCUGAUGUGAAAGCCCUGGGCUCAACCCAGGAAGUGCAUUGGAUACUGUCAGACUUGAAUACGGGAGGGGGUAGUGGAAUUCCUAGUGUAGGAGUGAAAUCCGUAGAUAUUAGGAGGAACACCGGUGGCGAAGGCGGCUACCUGGACCGAUAUUGACGCUGAGACGCGAAAGCGUGGGUAGCAAACAGGAUUAGAUACCCUGGUAGUCCACGCCGUAAACGAUGAGAACUAGGUGUCGCGGGUA